CUAGAAAUUCACCAUCAGUUUUUGUGAUAGGUUAUUUUGGUUGCUUAUGUAACAUUAGAAAUCUUAACUGUAUUCCAAAUUAUACGUUAUUAUUUAAAAUUAAAGUCGACUAAUAAAUUAAUAACAUGUUGCUGAACAGAAGUUCAUUAUUUGCAAGAAACAUUAUAACCAAUUAUGUUAGAAAUCAUCAUGGAGGUACACCUGGUGAGAAUUUACCAUUUCAACUUGGAAACCCUUACCGACUAACUGCAUGGUUUAUUGUGUUUUUCGGAUCAGGGCUUGCAGCACCUUACUUUGUUGUUAGAUAUCAACUUACCAAAAAUUAAUUGUUUUUUAUAAUGUGCUGUAGUGUGUUACGAUGUAUACCUUAGUGUUAAUUGUCUAAAUACAUAUAACAAAAAUAUUGUCAAUAUGUGUACCUAUGUAUGACCUUGUCUGAAAUGUACUUGUUAUGUGGAAACUUCAAGAAAACAUUAAUUGAUGUUUUUCAGGCCGAAGAAAAUGACUAUUGCAUUAUAAA